rnacentral:lncRNA from 1 species
CACCAUCGCUUUUCCUUGAAGUCUGCCAUUGCAUCGGAAGGGUCUUUAAAGUGUGUCCAUGAUUGUAUAAAUUCAGAUCUGGAUGCUAGAGAGGAAGAGGGGAACCAUAUGUCUACGGGAAACUGAAAAUUGAUAGAGAGGGAAAGAGAGAUAGAAGGAGAAAGGUGCAGGGGAGGUUGCGAUUGAACUUUCGAGGGCUCUGAUUGAGAACAAUAUAUUUGGGAAAGUAGCCUUGCAAGUAUGGAAGGCUUGGAAUUCAUGUGGUGCUGCGCUUAACAAGUGCUGUGCCGGGAAU